GUAACCGGAAGUCGCGUUCUCCCGAGGAAGUAACCAGUACGCCGCUCGAGCGCUUUUCGUUAGGAUGCGUGUGAUCUUAAAGUCUGCGGUUGCUUCACUAAACCUACAUGCUUCUGCAAGGCAUCUUACUUUAUAAGGUAUGAGAUCUUCUGUGAAUCGUUUCCAUCAAUGCAUCAGUCAAUCAAUCUUCACCAACACCACACGCCAUCAGCAUCUCUAUUUUGUUGUUUCUUCUAAUGAAAACAGCUCUCCAUGAGAGUUCUGAUGAGUUCGAGUGAUGAAUGAGGACACAGUUUGGUGAGAGCCGGUCUGUUUUGAUGGUUUGAGCACAUCUCAGCUGGUCAGGCAGGAACACCAUCUGGUAGACCAGCAAAAUCCAGCUGAGCACCAGUUUGGCCAAGCUGAAAGACCAGCUAAACCAGCAAACAACAUUUU